rnacentral:rRNA from 1 species
GCGAACAGGAUCAGAGGAGCUUGCUCUCUCUGAUGUUAGCGGCGGACGGGUGAGUAACACGUGGGUAACCUACCUAUAAGACUGGGAUAACUUCGGGAAACCGGAGCUAAUACCGGAUAAUAUUUUGAACCGCAUGGUUCAAAAGUGAAAGAUGGUUUUGCUGUCACUUAUAGAUGGAUCCGCGCCGCAUUAGCUAGUUGGUAAGGUAACGGCUUACCAAGGCAACGAUGCAUAGCCGACCUGAGAGGGUGAUCGGCCACACUGGAACUGAGACACGGUCCAGACUCCUACGGGAGGCAGCAGUAGGGAAUCUUCCGCAAUUGGCGAAAGCCUGACGGAGCAACGCCGCGUGAGUGAUGAAGGUCUUCGGAUCGUAAAACUCUGUUAUUAGGGAAGAACAUAUGUGUAAGUAACUGUGCACGAUCUUGACGGUACCUAAUCAGAAAGCCACGGCUAACUACGUGCCAGCAGCCGCGGUAAUACGUAGGUGGCAAGCGUUAUCCGGAAUUAUUGGGCGUAAAGCGGCGCGUAGGCGGUUUCUUAAGUCUGAUGUGAAAGCCCACGGCUCAACCGUGGAGGGUCAUUGGAAACUGGAAAACUUGAAGUGCAAGAAGAGGAAAGUGGAAUUCCAUGGGUAGCCGGUGAAAUGCGCGGAAUUAUGAAGGACCACCAGGGGCGAAGGCGACUUUCCUGUCUGUAACUGACGGCUGAUGGGCCGAAGCGGGGGGGUUCAACCGGGUUAAAUACCUUGUUAGUCCCCGGCCUUAAACGAUGGGUGCCUAAGUGUUAGGGGGGUUUCGCCCCCUUAGUGCCUGCACCUACCGCAUUUAGCCCUUCCGCCUGGGGAGUACGCCCGCAGGGUGGAAACUCAAGGAAAUGGACGGGGACCCGACCAAGCGGUGGAGCCAUGUGUUUUAUUUCGAACCACCCGGAGGACCCUUCCCAAAUCUGGCCAUCUUUGGAAAAUCCUGGAAAUGGACCUUUCCCCUUCGGGGGCCAAAUUGCCAGUUGUUCCAGGGUGUUCUUCAGUUGGGUUGGGGGGAGGUUGGGUAAAUUCCGACGC